rnacentral:lncRNA from 1 species
UAUCUAGAAGAUGGGUCUCAGUCCCCAAACCAAGGACGCUUUGUAUUCUGGACUAGCCUAAUGAUGGUACUUGUAUACACAGAGACCUAUUCAGGGAUUUUCUGUGUAGAAUAGACACAAAGGUCUUGCCCCCUUCAUGCCCCAUUACACAUAAGGUCAUGCCCCAUUACACAUGGAGCAUGACCUUAUGGGAGAGUACACAAGACGUUUCCAAGAAAAACUGUCAUUGUGACACUGAAAACUGGGAAUCCCUGGCCCUUGAACGCUCUAAUUGGAGGUCAGCUGUGACCAGCAGUGCUGCGGAGUUCGAAGAGGCACGAACGGAGGGCUUAAGGGAGAAACGUGCCAAGAGGAAGGAGCAUCAAGCUAACCCCGACCGGGACCGCCUUCCACCUGGAAACCAAUGUCCUCACUGCGGGAGAAUAUGCGGUUCAAGAAUCGGUCUCUUCAGCCACCUAAGAACACACACCCAAGAUGGAAGACAAUCGUCCUCGAGCUACGCGGGAUCGCCUAAGUAAGUAAAGUAAGUAAGUAAGUAAGUAACCUUUCUAUUCCUCUUAAAACUGUAUAGCACAGUUUUGGUACUGCUGCUAACUUUUCUGGUGGUCAAGACCACCUUUUCCUAGAAAAACAGAUGAGCAAGUGCACAGAGUUGGAAAGGGAAGCUUUUGCUGAUGCCGUGAAUAUAGAUAGCAGUGAGGAGCAAGAGGCUUUGAAGUGCCCCAACAAAAUUGUAAAGUUUCUAUUUCCAUCCUUCCUCAAUAUUCACCAGCCAAUGGCUUUUCAUGUUGCCUUGCCAACUGGAUGACCGUAGUGAACUAUAGUGUCUUUAAAAGGGUCCAAGUGGAACAGCACUGUAAGAAGUUGGGAAGUUGUGACACAAGAAAAAAUGUUAAACUUGUAGAAAGGUUUAAAGCCUUUCAUGGAGAGCCUCUACUAAAAAUAAAAGUGGCAAAGAAUAAAAGACAGAGAUGAAUGAAUAGCAAAAUAAAAAGGCUCAAGCUCCACCAGCAGUCCUUCCCAUGGACCUUACCAAAGAAAUAAAUACUGAAGCCUAUGAAGAGAAAAUAGCCUAGACUGGGAUUGAUGUGUGUGGUCCAUGGAAUAGAAUUACUUCUUCAGAGUCCACUUGGUCUCUUUUGUUGCAUGGCAUGACCUGUGUCCAGAAUGGGGAGAACUAUCUCUUCUUUC